ACUAGGUCUAUCUAUCAGUAUAGGCAGGUCAGACACCAGACAGAACCGGGCACUAGGUCUAUCUAUCAGUAUAGGCAGGUCAGACACCAGACAGACAGAACAGGGCACUAGGUCUAUCUAUCAGUAUAGGCAGGUCAGACACCAGACAGAACAGGGCACUAGGUCUAUCUAUCAGUAUAGGCAGGUCAGACACCAGACAGAACAGGGCACUAGGUCUAUCUAUCAGUAUAGGCAGGUCAGACACCAGACAGAACCGGGCACUAGGUCUAUCUAUCAGUAUAGGCAGGUCAGACACCAGACAGAACCGGGCACUAGGUCUAUCUAUCAGUAUAGGCAGGUCAGACACCAGACAGACAGAACUGGGCACUAGGUCUAUCUAUCAGUAUAGGCAGGUCAGACACCAGACAGAACAGGGCACUAGGUCUAUCUAUCAGUAUAGGCAGGUCAGACACCAGACAGAACUGGGCACUAGGUCUAUCUAUCAGUAUAGGCAGGUCAGACACCAGACAGAACAGGGCACUAGGUCUAUCUAUCAGUAUAGGCAGGUCAGACACCAGACAGAACAGGGCACUAGGUCUAUCUAUCAGUAUAGGCAGGUCAGACACCAGACAGAACAGGGCACUAGGUCUAUCUAUCAGUAUAGGCAGGUCAGACACCAGACAGAACCGGGCACUAGGUCUAUCUAUCAGUAUAGGCAGGUCAGACACCAGACAGACAGAACAGGGCACUAGGUCUAUCUAUCAGUAUAGGCAGGUCAGACACCAGACAGACAGAACAGGGCACUAGGUCUAUCUAUCAGUAUAGGCAGGUCAGACACCAGACAGACAGAACAGGGCACUAGGUCUAUCUAUCAGUAUAGGCAGGUCAGACACCAGACAGAACCGGGCACUAGGUCUAUCUAUCAGUAUAGACAGGUCAGACACCAGACAGAACAGGGCACUAGGUCUAUCUAUCAGUAUAGACAGGUCAGACACCAGACAGAACCGUACACU